CUCUCUCUCUGCCCUUCCCCUGCUCACACUCUGUCUCUCUCUCUCUCUCAAAAACAAAUAGAUGUUGAAAAAUAUGAAAAAAAUUUUACAAGUCUUCUCCAAGUGUUCUUAUGUUUGCUUUCACGAAGAUAUCAGAAGUCACUGGAGGUAUUGUAAGUAAACAAUUUUGUUCUACCUAAAAUUUGGAGACCUUCCUUUAACCUUUAUAAUUGCAGUAACUACACGUAAAUAUUUGUUGAGUGAAUGCACAAAAACGCUUUGCUAAGAUGUGACUCGAUGGCAGUGGAGGUGAGCCAGCGUGUCUUUUCAAUUACUGUGUCUAGAAAUGACAAGCCCCUAGAACCUGUGCACACAUACCUCCCUCUCCCCUUUCUUUAAGCUCAGGGAGACUUUCUUCCAUGUCAGUCUCGAUUUUGCUUUUCUUCCAUUUAUUCUUCUUUGUCUUCCAGGAAUACUCUUUGCCGUCGUCCCUUCCUACCUCCUUUUACUUUGUUUUGACUUCCUUAUCCUUUCCCUUGUCAUUCUGGAAAGGUUUCUCACUUUUGUCCUUCUGGCAACUGAGGAGAUCUUGUUUUUUUUUUGGUUGUUGCCUCAGGUGUUGUCUGGGGGUUCCUUCCCCCACCGGGGGUUCUUUCCUAUCACCCUGUUCCUCUUUACUCGCCCUGCUUAUGCUACUGCUCCCUCUUAGGCCUCCUGACAUCUUUAAAUGACACCAAAACAUUUCCUUGAAAGAUUUUUUCUUCUCUAGUCACUGAGGUACAUAUUUUCCAGAGAUAUCUUUUUCUUCUGAGUCUUCCAGAUGUUGUUUCCUUUUUUCUUGGUAUAAAGGACGCUUCUAUAGUUCUAAAUUAUUUGAUGACUUCCUUAUUUUUUUUUUCAGGAAAACACCAGAUCUCUUUUCAGAUUUGAUGAUGAGAAGCAGAUAUGGCAAAUGAAUUACUCUUGUCCGUGCAUCUGGACUCAAGAAUCAGACAUGGUGCCAAAUACGUCUCUGCGUGAUUUAAUGUAAUUCCUGUACUGACCUCCUGAAAAAGGAACUGCUUCAAUCUCCCUUUGACAGAAAGCUUCGGUGAUGGAUUUGAAUUUUGAAAAGAUCGCUCUGGCUACAAUGUGAAGAAAGGACAUAAAGCAAAACAAUGACAAAAGAAAACAUGGCAAGUAAUGUAAAUGGAAACGUAGAACAGGGAAAUCAGGGCCUUUCAGACGGGUAUCUGUGGCUUCAGACAAUUAGUUAAAUUAAUAUUACUUAAAUAUAUGCCAUAUGUUAGAACUUUGCUGGGUACCCAGUGCAAG